rnacentral:rRNA from 1 species
AGUGAACGCUGGCGGUAGGCCUAACACAUGCAAGUCGAACGGCAGCACAGUAAGAGCUUGCUCUUACGGGUGGCGAGUGGCGGACGGGUGAGGAAUACAUCGGAAUCUACUUUUUCGUGGGGGAUAACGUAGGGAAACUUACGCUAAUACCGCAUACGACCUACGGGUGAAAGCAGGGGAUCUUCGGACCUUGCGCGAUUGAAUGAGCCGAUGUCGGAUUAGCUAGUUGGCGGGGUAAAGGCCCACCAAGGCGACGAUCCGUAGCUGGUCUGUGGGGAUGAACAGCCUCACUGAAAAUGAGAUACGGUCCAGACACCUACGGGAGGCAGCAGUGGGGAAUAUUAGACAAUGGGCGCAAGCCUGAUCCAGCCAUACCGCGUGGGUGAAGAAGGCCUUCGGGUUGUAAAGCCCUUUUGUUGGGAAAGAAAAGAAGCAGGUUAAUACCCCGCUGUUCUGACGGUACCCAAAGAAUAAGCACCGGCUAACUUCGU